rnacentral:snoRNA from 2 species
GGCUCUGUGAUUACUUUGCCAAAGUGGCAGUAUACGCUAUUCUGAAUACAAUAAGAAAGAUACAUAUUUUAAUAUAUGAGAGCC